UGCAAUGUUAAAUCCCAAUACCUCCGCUGGUAAAAUAAAGUAAUCCAAGAAAAGCGCUGAAUGAAGGCAAUAUCCCAAUUUCCCCAGUAACCGGACGAAACACAGUUCUGGGAGUCAACUGAGGUUUUAUUCACAGGUCACAUUAUUUAUGUGGUUCCCCAUGCAAGGGGUUUCCUUAAUCACUUUACAGGGGUUGUACAAUAGGGGACUACAUGGAGAACUGAACAUACAUGACCAUUUUUCCACCAUGCACUGCUGUACGAGAGGGAUACUCCCAUAAGAAU